rnacentral:rRNA from 1 species
GUGGACCCACCUGAGACCAUACCGAACUCAGAAGUGAAACGCUGUAAUGCCGAUGGUAGUGUGGGGUUUCCCCAUGUGAGAGUAGGACACCGCCAGGU